GGACUGUGGCUCAGUGGCAGAGCCUCUGCAGUUCAUGCAGAAAGUCCCAGGUUCAAUCCCUAGAAUCUCCA
rnacentral:tRNA from 1 species